UCUCCCCCGCCUGCGUGCCAUUUGCCAUUGUUCUGGCACAUCCCUAAAAUGCCACUGGCCUCUUCUCAGUGUCUCUGGGUGCCAAAGCACACGGGGGGGGAUUAUGGUGCUUCAGCCCUAAUGAUGACUGUCCAAGCACUGCUCAUCCAUGGGAAAUGUGAAAUGCCCAAAUUUAGUUCAACCCCUGCACAGAGACAUUACAACAGAGCCAGUUUUGCAAUGCUCUCAUCGGAAGUUGUUUCCAUCUUCCCAGUGUCUGAGAAGGGCAAGGUCACGCUGAAUGAGCAGCAAAUCUGAGUGAAUCUGGAGUUCAUUGGGGGAUUGAUGGACUAAAAUACAAACACAUCUCAGAAGGAACCAAGGCAAAAAAUAAAAACGCUAAAUUGGGAAUUCAGGUCACCUGAGUGUCCCCUUUCCCUUCUUGUUGAUUCAGGUUUGAGAUGAUCAACCGACCCACAAGACUAACCCUGCUUGCCUGGUUCAUCCAGAAUCCUCUCCAUGACCCUCAAGGCACCACCAAACCAGUAUCCUGGCAGAUUUCUCACUGAUAUUCAGCCCAGUGCUUUCCAUAAGCCACUUUUUAUGAACAAAAAUGUAAUCAGAUGAAUUAGCAAGGAACGAGUAGAAGGGAAUAGCAUAACCCAAAAUCAGCUGUAGGGCUUUGUGUAAAGACAGCAACAAAGGAUAUUUUUCUGCAAGGAAGGAAUGAAGAAAUAAAGAAAGAAAGAAAGAAAAAUAACUCUUUUCCAUUUGUGCAUUACAGAUACCUGCUUAUUCUUCUUGUGUUCUGUGACACAAUAUGAAAAUGACAAAGAAACCUGCCUCAUCUCUAGACCUGUGCUUGAGUUUCCUGCCUUUGUAUAACGUGUUCCUUCUACCAGAAAUCACGUAUAAAUACGGUCUUAGGGAUGCACACUUAGUUUCAUGGUGGCUACCCCACCAAAGGCAGGACAUGGGAACACAGUCGUAUUGCAAAGCACAUGGGGAAAAAUAAAUAAAUAAAUAAAAAGAGCAAAACUUAGCAAUAAUCACUGGGUUUCUCCUUAACAUGUGUAAACCCUUUAAAUGCACAAGUUCUGAAUAGUUGUCAGGAAACCAAGACUUCAGUUAGGAAUAAUUGGUUAUGGUUCAUCCCCUCAGCAUCUGCUCAGUGUCAGCACUACAGCCCAUCUGCAAGCAGCAGAAGCAGCUGGAGAUGUGUGGUCAGUUCUGUGAAGGUUUGGGAGCCAGAGGCUGGGGUGCAGUACAGGUGAUUCCCACAGAGGGAGAUGUUGCUUUCUUUAUGCCUUAAGUUUUUUUUUUUUUCCAUCUAGCCCUGGGAAAACUUCCAUGUGUUCCAGUCAUUACACAGACGCUUGAACUUCACAUUCAUGUAUAUUCCUGAAUGAUGUUUUUUCUAUUGUCCGUAUGUAUAGGUUUUCUACUCCACAAAGAGCUGAAGGUGGACUGUUACAAAGUGACUUGGCAGACCAUGUUGAGCCAGCAUUUAUGACAGCCCAUGCCUGUUUUCUUAGCCCACUCUGAUUACAUUCCCCAGACAGGGACAGAGCACCCAGCCCAGCAAAGCAGUGGGGUGGCUGUUGCUCCCCAGCACUUCCUUGGGUCCUUCAGCCACUUUUGCCACAAACACACAGGGACAAUUCACACCUCAGUCUCAAUUGCAAACUGGUACCAAAUACCACCGUUUGUUGCUUUAUGCUCCUUUAUCUGCACAGAGAAGUAUAGCAGAAAUGCUAAGUCAGGGCUUGAAGCAGUGAUGGAGCACCUGGUGGGAAGGCA